rnacentral:rRNA from 1 species
AGAGUUUGAUCAUGGCUCAGGAUAAACGCUGGCGGCGCACAUAAGACAUGCAAGUCGAACGGAAGUCGUUGUAAUGAUAUAGACAUGGACUGUAGAACUUGUUCAAAGAAAGUGAAAGUUGACUUACAACAAUGGCUUUAGGUGGCGGACUGGUGAGUAACACGUAAGCAACCUGCCUAUCAGAGGGGAACAACAGUUAGAAAUGACUGCUAAUACCGCAUAUGCCUUAGCAACACA